rnacentral:lncRNA from 1 species
GUAUUUAAGAGUCACUUUAUUUCACAGCAUCAAAUACAUCUUCCCAAACUGACAAAAUUAUUCUAAAAGCAAAGUAUAAAACAUAAUGAUUUAAUGCAUUUUCUGCAUUUGAUAUUUCAAAUGAUAUCCUUUAUUUUUCUUACACUUUUGGUAUAAGUUUGCCAACUAUUUUUUAAGUCCUUCAUUUUAUAAAAUUAUAGCGAUAAUAGAUGGUAUGAGUUUUAAUUUUAUUUUCAGUAUCCUAUAUGGCACAGUAAGAUGUUGGCAACUUUAGGUGGAUCACGAAAAGCAACUGUCAUAGUUGUCUUUAAACAAAUCUGCAAAAUCUGAAAGCCUAAAAAAUGACUUAGUUUCGCUUCUGACUCCCCAGCAGCCGUCGCUCAGGUGGAGACUCUGAGGUCUCAUUGCAUGCUUUGGGUCAGACCUUUAAGGCCAGAGUGGAAUCACAAAGUCUUAUUAAGACCUCAGCUCUGCCACCUUCUCGAAGCUGCAGGAUGUAUUGCCAUAGGAUUUUUCUCCUCUUCCUUUCUUUCUUUGAAAUUGUUUUUAUUCCUGGUCCAAAGUUUAGCUGGAUGCAUCGAAGUCCCCACAUGAAAGGACUUUUCUUCUUCUUUUAAUUGAAAUACAGUUGAUUUACUAUAUUUCACCAGUUUCGGGUGUACAGCAUGGUGAUUGUUGUACACACAGUGAUUCAGUAAAUGUACAGAUUUCCUCCACUUAAAGUUAUUACAAAAUAAUGACUAUAGUUCCCUGGGCUGUACAGUAUGCCUUUGUAGCUUAUCUAUGUUGUACACGGCAGUUUGUAUCUCUUGGUCCCCUUCCCCUUCUGGCUCCUCCCCCUUCCUUCUCCCCGCUGGUACCACUAGUUUGUUCUCCUCACCCGUGAGUCUAUUUCUGUUUUGUUAUACAUAUUUUAUGGUUUAGAUUUCACAUAUAAGUGAUAACACAGGGUAUUUGUCUUUGUCUGACUUAUUUCACUAAGCAUGAUAUUCUCUCAGUCCCUUGCAUUGUUGCAAAUUACAGAAUUUUAGGGCUGAGUAAUAUUCCAUUGUGUGUGUGAGUGUGUGUAAUGUGUGUGUGUCUGUGUGUGUGUGUGUACACAUCACAUCUUCUUUAUCCAUUCAUCUGCUGAUGGACACAGAGGUUGCUUCCAUAUCGCGGCUAUUGUAAAUAAUGCUACUAUUAACAUUGGGGUGCAUGUAUCUUUUCAAAUUAGUGUUUUUUGUUUUCUUCAGAUAUAUACUCAGGAGUGGAAUUACUGAAUCAUAUGUUUGUUCUUUUUUAGUUUUUGAGGAACCUCCAUACUGUUUUCCACCUUGGCUACACAAAUUCACACUCCCACCAACAGCGUAUAAGGGUUUCCUUUUCUCCAUCCUUGCCAGCAUUUGUUAUUUGUGGUCUUUUUGAAGAUAGCCAUUCUGACAGGUGUGAAAUGAUAUCUCAUUACAGCAGUGCUUUUUGGAUCUAUCUCUCAAGGCAAAAGAAAUAAAAUCAAAAAUAAAUACAUGGGACCUAAUUAAACUUAAGGGCUUUUUUGCACAGCAAAGGAAGCCAUCAGCAAAACAAAAAGGCAACCUACUGAAUGAGAGGAAAUACUUGCCAAUGAUAUGACCAAUAAGGUUUAAUAUCCAUAAUAUAUAAAAACCUCAUACACUCCAAUAUCAAAAAACAAAGCAACCAGAUUAAAGCUUGGCAGAAGACCUGAAGGGUCAUUUUUCCAAAAAAAAAAAAAAAAAGACAUAUAGAUGGCCCACAGGCUCAUGAAAAGAGCUCAAUAUCACUAGAGGAUUUUUUUUGUGAGAGAGGUAAAAAUCCCCAACUUGGAGUCCAGAGAUCUGGGCAUAGAUGCCAAUCCACUGUGUCUGAGCCUCAUUCAAUCUCCCUCAACUUCUCUCUUUCCAUUUCUAAGUCAAAGUCUAAGAUCUCUAAAGGCGAUGCAUUGAUAUUACCUUAUAUGUGACUCCAUCAAUUUCUCACAUUCAAGUUAAAUUAAUCAGUUUCAAGCAGAAGAACCUUAUCCUUUGGACCUGAGUUUAUUGGCACUUGCAUAGGCAUGAAGACCUACUGUGUAUAAUGACGAUUUUCUUUUCUUUUUUUUUUUUUUUUUAUGGCCACACCUGUAGCAUAUGAAGUUCCCAGGGAAGGGACUGACUCCUAAACCGCAACUGCAGCAAUGCCAGAUCCUUUACCCACUGCACCUGGCCAGGAAUUGAACCUGCACCCCUGCAAUGACCCAAGCCUUUGCAGUUAGAUUCUUAACCUACUGCACCACAGUGGGAACUCCUAACAGUGCUUUUACAGACUUCAAGAAAGGGGAGAUGUUUUGAAAAUUAGGAGGCAGUUAGGCAUCCUUUCCCUCCUCCUUUAGAUCACAAAUUCGUGUGACUUCAGAAGUUAACGGGGCAGGUCAAAUCAAGGUGGGAGCGGGCAGGAGCCAAAAGGGAGUGGUAAGGACCACAGUAAAUUGGAAAGGGGACGUCUUACUGAGAGGCACUCAAAUUCAGAUAUCUUUUUUUUUUCUUUCCUAGGGCCACACCUGCGGCAUAUGGAGGUUCCCAGGCUAGGGGUCCAAUUGGAGCUGCAGUGCCGGCCUACGCCACAGCCACAGCAACACAGGAUCCGAGCCACGUCUGCAACCUACACCUCAGCUAACGGCAAUGCCAGAUCCUUAACCCACUGAGCGAGGCCAGGGAUCAAACCCGCAACCUCAUGGUUCCUAGUCAGACUCGUUAACCAUUGAGCCACAACAGGAACUCCCAAAUUCAGAUAUCUUUACAACACUCUUGCAACUUCCAAUCUGAAGAGAUUGGUCCUUGAGAAAGGGUGGUGGUCCUUGGGAGACCCACUUGUGAGUUCGGCCCAACUGUCAGAUAGGAAAGGCACAGCAUGCAGGCACCCACAGAGGUGUGGGAGUCACAGAGGGUCUAUAUUCUCACUGGUCCAUCAUCGAGUGUGAAGUCCCAGAGCCUUCCCCCACAUCUGUUUCAGGCUUCGUGGGGAGGAGGGUGACUGAGCACCAUUGGUCAGCACUGACCAUCCUGCUGACACUCCAAGGUGCCAGCCAGGAUGCAAUGUCUCAGGCAUGAGGACUGCUCAGACAGCAGAAUGAUGCAUGCAAAAGGGGGGAGUGUGUGUGUGACGAUUCCCCAAAAGUGAGUAGAAGUUCCUUUGAGAUAGAUUAGAAAAAAAGAGAUUUUUUUUUUAUUAGAGUAUAGUUGAUUUCCAGUGUUGGGUCAAUUUCCUACCAUACAGCAUAGUGUAUAAUACAUUCUUUUUCUCCUAUUAUCUUCCAUCGUGAUCUGUUUAACAAGGGACACGCUGGAAAGAGUAGCAGGUAAGUCUUGUGGGAGAGAGUUUAUGACGAACUUUCUGGAAAGGGUUUCCCCCCUUAACUGCUUUCUAGUAGACCUCGGGAGGCUGUCCUACUCACACCUAGGCAUGUCCUUUCCAUUCCUGCAUGUUGGAAUUCCCAUCUUCAGCUACCCCAUUGCCUCAGCAAGGAUAUGUGUAUAGCCAGGUGUGGUGGCAACUCGGGGGGCUUGAGACACCAGGUUGGAAAGAAGAAGUGUCCGUGUCCCCCUUCCUGCUGCCAGCCCUCUGCUGAGCCCAUAGGGAAAGCACCUGCACCCUAUGCAUCCAGGGCUGAGUGGGAACUCAGCCUCUCGGGAAGGGCAGACACGAGUAGGGAAGGACCCUUUCCUGCCUAGACAACUCUAGGAGGACAAGGGCCUGGGUGUCAGGGAGCCAGCCAUCUGCUGGAGGAAGCUGGUCUCUGAGAAGCGUAGGAGGGAAAAGAUGACCAGCCUAAAGAUGCAGAGCAGGUUCAAAUAUGCAUUAAAUGUCCUGAAAGGGGGACCCGGUGGGGCUGCCGAGUAGAGAAGACAUGGCGAGGUGUAGCUUAGAAUAACAGAUUUUCUUGCCUUUGUGUCUUUAUAUGAUUGCUAAAAUGAGAACUCCAGAUCUGUCUGUCUCCUUUUUCUGUAGUUAUAACUGUUGAAGUCCAUAAAAACUGUUCCCUCGCACAUUUGGCCAGGAAACCCAGGCUUCACAGGAGCCGCACGGAACAUUCCAUCUCGUCCUAAAGCAAAACCUGUCACAUCCCAACAGCACAGUCUUUCUCUCCUUCUAUUUGUAAUAAGUGUUGCCUUUCCUGGUGGGUUUUUAAAAAUAUUAUUAAAUAAAACCUUGCCAAAUUUACUUUGCAGAAGUAUCUUUUAUGGAAAGCAGAUGGAAAAAGCUAACUUAAAAUGCAAAUCAUAACAUUAUAAUGACUUCUUAAUUUUAAAAGUUAUAGCUACAACUUCCCAGGAGGGACUGAAAGAGAUGGUGACAACAGCUGUGGAAGAAACAUCAGAAGUGGGAGGUGCCUGGAAAACAAAGAAAGGCUGCAGAGUGGCACAGAUCACGAAGAAUAUUCCUUGUUCUUAGAUGUGGCGGCCUGAGCACUCACGCAUGUUCAAUUCUGCAGCGUUUUUUCAGGGAAAGGAAAGGAAAGGAAAAGAACAAAGACACCUCCAACCUUCAGGAGAGAGAUUACUCCCCAACGUGUCUACACAUGCCACGAGGUGUACAGAGUUCUAGAAAAACACAUCUAAUGUCCCCCUCAGACAGGAAUAUGAAACCACCAUUCACAGGUUCUCCAGAUUCUAAUGUAUUUACUCAGAUGUUAAACGCCUGAAAUGAGUAUUUAACAAAGAGGUUUCGUGC